UACAGAGGGUGCAAGCGUUGUUCGGAAUUAUUGGGCGUAAAGCGCUGGUAGGUGGCUCGUUAAGUCGCGUGUGAAAGCUCCAGGCUCAACCUGGAAAGUGCGCGCGAAACUGGCGAGCUUGAGUGCCGGAGAGGGUCGCGGAAUUCCCAGUGUAGAGGUGAAAUUCGUAGAUAUUGGGAGGAACACCAGAGGCGAAGGCGGCGACCUGGAAGGUGACUGACACUGAGCAGCGAAAGCGUGGGGAGCAAACAGG
rnacentral:rRNA from 1 species